rnacentral:rRNA from 1 species
ACGUAGGGUGCGAGCGUUAAUCGGAAUUAAUGGGCGUAAAGCGUGCGCAGGCGGUUUUUUAAGACAGAGGUGAAAUCCCCCGGCUUAACCGGGGAACUGCCAUUGAUACUGCAAGGCUUGAGUAUGGUAAAGGGGGGUGGAAUUUCUGGUGUAGCGGUGAAAUGCGUAGAGAUCAGGAGGAACACCGAUGGCGUAGGCAGCUUACUGGGCCUGUACUGACGCUGAUGCACGAAAGCGUGGGGAGCGAACAG